UAUUCUAUUCUAAUUGUCCUUUCCACUAACCAAGUUAAAUGAGUUGGGAUCCUCAUGUCAUUGUCAUGUCGGAAGCGCCUUAGCGCUUCCAAGUUGAAAGGUUUAGUUAGUGAUACCACUGUUGGCUGGGGGAACAGCUGUGGCCUCCUUUAAUUAAUGAGCCUACCAAAGAAGUACCUAUUUAUCUACACACAUUUGCACACUUUCGAACUGCUAGGUCAGAGCUGGAGUGAAUCAUGGGAGCUCACCCCAACACACAGCAGCAUUUCGGUCUCGAGCAUGGGCUUGCAAAUUGUCAACCCAACAUUCCAACCAUGGGAGCUACCGAGUCAGUCCGGGCAAGGCUUUUCAGGAUCAGAAAGGCUUGCAGACAGGGAGGAGCAGGAGAGACAGAGCUCAGGCGAAGAGCAAGGACCACCCCCUCCUGAUCCUAGAGCACGGAGAGAAGAGAGAAAGCGAGAAUAACGCAGACUGAGCCGUCUACGAGGGAGGAGAAUGCCCUGCCCCCUUUCACAAGUGAUCAAAGAGUGUGAUACUGUAAGCAUACAUCACCCUUUCUGUUCUCUGAAGGAAGGAGUCCUAGCUGAACACAAAGAAAUUUAGAUACACAAAAGGGCAUUCCUCAUUACCCAAGAAGCAGACAUCCAUGGAUUCAUCUACCCUCUUGGUUACAGCACGCAGAAGUCUCCUUUCCAUGUUAGCUGGAGCUUCGUCUUGCUAGAAAGUUUGAAGUUUUCUUUUCCGGUAGUACAAAUGAAUCCUUUCAAGAUAAAGCAAAAAAGCUGAAAGGGCAUACAUUUUUUUUAAAAGAUCUAAUUCUGUUUAGUAGCCUCAUUAGUACAUGCUAGAGCAGGGGUCUCCAAACUUGGCAACUUUAAGACUUGUGGACUUCAACUCCCAGAGUUCCUCAGCCAGCAAAACUCUGGAAGUUGAAGUCCACAAGUCUUAAAGUUGCCAAGGUUGGAGACCCCUGGGCUAGAGGAACAUCAGGACUGAAUUACUUGAAUGUAUAUAUUAAAUUUAUUGAGGCUUUUUGUUGGAAACUAGUUACACAUAGUUCACGGUAACCUUGCAUGCAGUUGACUCAAGAAGACAGGACGAGGAACUUUCUGUUCUUUAUUCUACGAAAAUGUCCUCUUAUGGCUAGACUGACACCACAAAAGUGAUAUCCAAUUCCACAAAUUAAUGCAAACAGAAAGCUCUUUUAUGUUUCCUUUUGAUGUCAAUGUUGGUUAUCAACCCUGAUUUUCAAUGUUGUUGGACUUAGUGGCCCAAAUAUUUCUUUCCACUUCGGUAUAAUAAACGUUAUAAGUUUUUCAAAUGUAAGGAAAAAAAUAAAAAUUCAUUAAAACUUG